UGUGGAGGCACUGCCAGAGGUCGGGUUCCCUUGCUCUGGCUCUAAGAUAGUGCAGGAGGGUCUGGAGGGUCUGAAUUCCUCACGAGCCAACAGCAGGGCUGCUGCUGCCCGAAGCACCAUGGGGUCACCGAUGUCCCUUUGUGUUGCAGCUCCUGUGCAAAGACCCCUUGGAGCGCCUGGGCUGCCGAGGGGCUGGGGCCAGGGAAGUGAAGGAGCACCCUCUCUUCAAGCACCUCAAUUUUCGGAGGCUGGAAGCGGGCAUGCUGGACCCCCCCUUCAAACCAGACCCCCAGGCCAUCUACUGCAAGGACGUUCUGGACAUCGAGCAGUUCUCCACGGUGAAAGGCGUGGAGCUGGAGCCCACGGACAAUGACUUCUACCAGAAGUUUGCUACAGGGAGCGUGCCCAUUCCUUGGCAGAAUGAGGUAGGUGGGGACUGGCACGUGCACCAGCCCCUUUUUUUUGCAGGAUGGGUCUUUGGCCCUGCUUGUGCUCGCCGUGGCUGAGGGCAGCGUCCUGCAGGGUUCCUGCUGUCCCUGCUGCUCCUGUGCCGGUUCCUCAGUGAGGGGCUCUGCGUGGUGAUUCCUUCAGCCAUCUCUGCCCUCUUCCAGAUGAUCGAGACAGAGUGCUUCAAGGAGCUGAACGUCUUUAGCACAGAUGGCUCGGUGCCCCCAGACCUGGACUGGAAAGGGCAGCCCUCCCCCCAGCCCAAAAAAGGGUUACUCCAGCGCUUCUUCAGCAGACAGGUAAGGAAGAGCGUUCACCCAACGCUCGCUCCGCAGCCCUGAGCCCUCUCCCACCCUUGCCAGGCAGAUUUGGCAGGGAGGGGACCCCUGUGCUGGGUGGCCGGACCCCGGGGCUCUCGGGUGGACCCCCGCGGGGCUGCAGGGAGGCUCUCCUGGUGCUGCUGCACGCGGAGGGGGCUGGGCUGGAGUGUCCUGGCUAAACAUGCUGCAGUCACACAGGCGGAGAGAUGCUGCCGAAGGCACUAAAAUAGCAAGUCUUCUCCCUUCCUACAUGCAUAAUCCCAUCCCCGAAGAAGCCCUUGAUCUUGGUAUGGGCUGUGUGGGCUCCCAGGCUCCCCCAGAGCCUUUCUGCUAGACCUUGGGCAGGCAGAGAGGAGCGGCGC
rnacentral:lncRNA from 1 species